rnacentral:rRNA from 2 species
AGAGUUUGAUCAUGGCUCAGAUUGAACGCUGGCGGCAGGCCUAACACAUGCAAGUCGAGCGGUAGCACAGAGAGCUUGCUCUCGGGUGACGAGCGGCGGACGGGUGAGUAAUGUCUGGGAAACUGCCUGAUGGAGGGGGAUAACUACUGGAAACGGUAGCUAAUACCGCAUAACGUCGCAAGACCAAAGUGGGGGACCUUCGGGCCUCAUGCCAUCAGAUGUGCCCAGAUGGGAUUAGCUAGUAGGUGGGGUAACGGCUCACCUAGGCGACGAUCCCUAGCUGGUCUGAGAGGAUGACCAGCCACACUGGAACUGAGACACGGUCCAGACUCCUACGGGAGGCAGCAGUGGGGAAUAUUGCACAAUGGGCGCAAGCCUGAUGCAGCCAUGCCGCGUGUGUGAAGAAGGCCUUCGGGUUGUAAAGCACUUUCAGCGGGGAGGAAGGCGGUGAGGUUAAUAACCUCAUCGAUUGACGUUACCCGCAGAAGAAGCACCGGCUAACUCCGUGCCAGCAGCCGCGGUAAUACGGAGGGUGCAAGCGUUAAUCGGAAUUACUGGGCGUAAAGCGCACGCAGGCGGUCUGUCAAGUCGGAUGUGAAAUCCCCGGGCUCAACCUGGGAACUGCAUUCGAAACUGGCAGGCUAGAGUCUUGUAGAGGGGGGUAGAAUUCCAGGUGUAGCGGUGAAAUGCGUAGAGAUCUGGAGGAAUACCGGUGGCGAAGGCGGCCCCCUGGACAAAGACUGACGCUCAGGUGCGAAAGCGUGGGGAGCAAACAGGAUUAGAUACCCUGGUAGUCCACGCCGUAAACGAUGUCGAUUUGGAGGUUGUGCCCUUGAGGCGUGGCUUCCGGAGCUAACGCGUUAAAUCGACCGCCUGGGGAGUACGGCCGCAAGGUUAAAACUCAAAUGAAUUGACGGGGGCCCGCACAAGCGGUGGAGCAUGUGGUUUAAUUCGAUGCAACGCGAAGAACCUUACCUGGUCUUGACAUCCACAGAACUUUCCAGAGAUGGAUUGGUGCCUUCGGGAACUGUGAGACAGGUGCUGCAUGGCUGUCGUCAGCUCGUGUUGUGAAAUGUUGGGUUAAGUCCCGCAACGAGCGCAACCCUUAUCCUUUGUUGCCAGCGGUUCGGCCGGGAACUCAAAGGAGACUGCCAGUGAUAAACUGGAGGAAGGUGGGGAUGACGUCAAGUCAUCAUGGCCCUUACGACCAGGGCUACACACGUGCUACAAUGGCAUAUACAAAGAGAAGCGACCUCGCGAGAGCAAGCGGACCUCAUAAAGUAUGUCGUAGUCCGGAUUGGAGUCUGCAACUCGACUCCAUGAAGUCGGAAUCGCUAGUAAUCGUAGAUCAGAAUGCUACGGUGAAUACGUUCCCGGGCCUUGUACACACCGCCCGUCACACCAUGGGAGUGGGUUGCAAAAGAAGUAGGUAGCUUAACCUUCGGGAGGGCGCUUACCACUUUGUGAUUCAUGACUGGGGUGAAGUCGUAACAAGGUAACCGUAGGGGAACCUGCGGUUG